rnacentral:piRNA from 1 species
UCAAAAACUGGAUGUGAAAGAUGAUGCGC